GACGAACGCUGGCGGCGUGCUUAACACAUGCAAGUCGAACGGAAAGGCCCUGCUUUUGUGGGGUGCUCGAGUGGCGAACGGGUGAGUAACACGUGAGUAACCUGCCCUUGACUUUGGGAUAACUUCAGGAAACUGGGGCUAAUACCGGAUAGGAGCUCCUGCUGCAUGGUGGGGGUUGGAAAGUUUCGGCGGUUGGGGAUGGACUCGCGGCUUAUCAGCUUGUUGGUGGGGUAGUGGCUUACCAAGGCUUUGACGGGUAGUCGGCCUGAGAGGGUGACCGGCCACAUUGGGACUGAGAUACGGCCCAGACUCCUACGGGAGGCAGCAGUGGGGAAUAUUGCACAAUGGGCGGAAGCCUGAUGCAGCGACGCCGCGUGCGGGAUGACGGCCUUCGGGUUGUAAACCGCUUUCGCCUGUGACGAAGCGUGAGUGACGGUAAUGGGUAAAGAAGCACCGGCUAACUACGUG
rnacentral:rRNA from 1 species